rnacentral:misc_RNA from 1 species
GAUGAAGAACGUAGCGAAAUGCGAUAAGUAAUGUGAAUUGCAGAAUUCAGUGAAUCAUCGAAUCUUUGAACGCAUCUUGCGCUCCUUGGUAUUCCUUGGAGCAUGCCUGUUUGAGUAUCAUGAGCAAAUCUCAAAGUCAAUUCCUUUUGUUAAUUCAAUUUGGUUUUGCUUUGGACUUGGAGGUCUUGCAGAUUUCACAGUCUGCUCCUCUUAAAUGCAUUAGCUGGAUCUCAGUAAUUAUGCUUGGUUCCACUCGGCGUGAUAAGUAUCACUCGCUGAGGACACUGUUAAAAAGGUGGCCGGAAAAUACUGAUUGAACCGCUUCUAACGGUCUAUUAAGUUAGACAAUUACCCUUAAGUUUGAUCUCAAAUCAGGUAGGACUACCCGCUGAACUUAAGCAUAUCAAUAAGCGGAGGA